UGGGGAAUAUUGCACAAUGGGCGCAAGCCUGAUGCAGCCAUGCCGCGUGUAGGAAGAAGGCCUUCGGGUUGUAAAGUACUUUUAGUCGGGAGGAAGGUGGUAAGGUUAAUAACCUUAUCAAUUGACGUUACCGACAGAAGAAGCACCGGCUAACUCCGUGCCAGCAGCCGCGGUAAUACGGAGGGUGCAAGCGUUAAUCGGAAUUACUGGGCGUAAAGCGCACGCAGGCGGUUGAUUGAGUCAGAUGUGAAAUCCCCGGGCUUAACCCGGGAAUUGCAUCUGAUACUGGUCAGCUAGAGUCUUGUAGAGGGGGGUAGAAUUCCAUGUGUAGCGGUGAAAUGCGUAGAGAUGUGGAGGAAUACCGGUGGCGAAGGCGGCCCCCUGGACAAAGACUGACGCUCAGGUGCGAAAGCGUGGGGAGCAAACAGG
rnacentral:rRNA from 1 species